ACGCCGGCUACGUACGCAUGGAGGAGCUCUGUACUUUGCCGCGGAGUUCCCCGGCGCCAAGCUCUGACCAGUCGGAAACGUCCUUUCUGUCUCCGGGCGGAGUCUGUUUUCUCCUCUGAAAAAUGAAGAUGAUAGUAUGCCCACUUAAGGCUCAUUAUGAGGAUUAAGAAGACACCAUUUAAAAUGGAGCCUGACAUACAGUAAGUGCUCAUUAAAAGUGCAUGCCUUCCUUUCUCUGUGUGAAGACCGUGUGAAGAAGAAGAAAAUUUUCAACUCAUGAAGACAACUUUCAACUCUCUUCAGUAGAGAAAAAUAUUCCAGCUUCAUAAAAGGCUAUUGUUUGUUAAUUCUACCCUUUUGUCAUGACAUUUAAAAAAAAUAUUUAGCUAUGAGAUAAAAUACAAUGUCACCAAUCCCUUACAUGAA